AUUGAACGCUGGCGGCAUGCCUUACACAUGCAAGUCGAACGGCGGCACGGGGCAACCUGGUGGCGAGUGGCGAACGGGUGAGUAAUGCAUCGGAACGUACCUUUCAGUGGGGGAUAACGUAGCGAAAGUUACGCUAAUACCGCAUAUUCUGUGAGCAGGAAAGCAGGGGAUCGCAAGACCUUGCGCUGAUUGAGCGGCCGAUGUCAGAUUAGCUAGUUGGUGAGGUAAAGGCCCACCAAGGCGACGAUCUGUAGCGGAUCUGAGAGGAUGAUCCGCCACACUGGAACGGAGACACGGUCCAGACUCCUACGGGAGGCAGCAGUGGGGAAUUUUGGACAAUGGGGGCAACCCUGAUCCAGCCAUGCCGCGUGAGUGAAGAAGGCCUUCGGGUUGUAAAGCUCUUUCGGCCGGGAAGAAAUCGCACGGGCUAAUACCCUGUGUGGAUGACGGUACCGGAAUAAGAAGCACCGGCUAACUACGUGCCAGCCGCCGCCGCAGUAA
rnacentral:rRNA from 1 species